rnacentral:rRNA from 1 species
UGGGGGAUAUUGCACAAUGGGCGAAAGCCUGAUGCAGCGACGCCGCGUGGGGGAUGAAGGCUUUCGGGUUGUAAACCUCUUUCGCUAUCGAACAAGGCCCGCUUAGGGUGGGUUGAGGGUAGGUGGAGAAGAAGCGCCGGCUAACUACGUGCCAGCAGCCGCGGUAAUACGUAGGGCGCGAGCGUUGUCCGGAAUUAUUGGGCGUAAAGGGCUUGUAGGCGGCUUGUUGCGCCUGCUGUGAAAACGCGGGGCUUAACUGCGCGCGUGCAGUGGGUACGGGCAGGCUUGAGUGUAGUAGGGGUGACUGGAAUUCCAGGUGUAGCGGUGGAAUGCGCAGAUAUCUGGAGGAACACCGAUGGCGAAGGCAGGUCACUGGGCCAUUACUGACGCUGAGGAGCGAAAGCAUGGGUAGCGAACAGG